rnacentral:rRNA from 1 species
GAUGAACGCUGGCGGCGUGCUUAACACAUGCAAGUCGAACGGAAAGGCUCCUGCUUGCAGGGGUACUCGAGUGGCGAACGGGUGAGUAACACGUGGGUGAUCUGCCCUGCACUUCGGGAUAAGCUUGGGAAACUGGGUCUAAUACCGGAUAGGACCGCAUUUUGGAUGGUGUGGUGGAAAGUUUUUUCGGUGUGGGAUAAGCUCGCGGCCUAUCAGCUUGUUGGUGGGGUAAUGGCCUACCAAGGCGUCGACGGGUAGCCGGCCUGAGAGGGUGUACGGCCACAUUGGGACUGAGAUACGGCCCAGACUCCUACGGGAGGCAGCAGUGGGGAAUAUUGCACAAUGGGCGCAAGCCUGAUGCAGCGACGCCGCGUGGGGGAUGACGGCCUUCGGGUUGUAAACUCCUUUCGCUAGGGACGAAGAGUAAUUGACGGUACCUGGAGAAGAAGCACCGGCUAACUACGUG